rnacentral:tRNA from 1 species
GGGGUUUUAGCUCAGUGGUAGAGCACUUGCCUAGCAUGUGUGAGGCUCUGAGUUCAAUUCUCAGCACCUCA